AAUCUCCAUAAUUAGACUAAUAUUAACCCAUUCUAAUACUAAUCUAACUAUUAUAGACUAUCACUAAUCCAUAUUUAAGCUAACAUAAACCAUCCUUAAGUCUAAAUCAACCUCCUAAGCAAGUUUAGGCACUAAUCAAAGGAUUAGGAGCUAAACUCAUCCGACGGAAUGGUGGUUGGUUUGGGAUAGGACAGCAGCAGACGGUGCUGUUUUUGGGAGCAAAACAGAAAAGAAACUAAAGAGAAAAGGAGAAGAAGAAGAGGGACGUGGGAGUGGGGUUGUCGAGAGUAGGAAGGGGAGGAAAGUGGGAGUGAGAAGCAAUUAAAAAAGGGAGGGGAAGUUGCAGGGAAAUUGCGGCAGAAGAGUUGGCGUAGGUGAGGGGGUGGAAAAGUGGGAGAGAGAGGGAGAAAAAGAAGAAAGAGAGAAGAAAAGA
rnacentral:lncRNA from 1 species